rnacentral:rRNA from 1 species
GUGCCAGCAGCCGCGGUAAUUCCAGCUCCAAUAGCGUAUACUAAAGUUGUUGCGGUUAAAAAGCUCGUAGUUGGAUCUUGGAAUGUGUUCAAGCGGGUCAGCUUCUGGCUGUGCGCUGCUUGACGUGUUCUUCUAUUUGGUUUUGGUGCGGUGCGCUUAACUGCGUGUCGCUCCCGGCCGAAACGUUUACCUUGAAAAAAUUAGAGUGUUCAAAGCAGACCUGUUUGAGUCUGAAUAUUCGUGCAUGGAAUAAUGAAAUAUGAAUUCGGUUCUAUUUUGUUGGUUUUCGGAACUCGAGUUAAUGAUCAAGAGGGACAGACGGGGGCAUUCGUACUCUGCCGUUAGAGGUGAAAUUCUUGGAUCGGCGGAAGACGCGCAACUGCGAAAGCAUUUGCCAAGAAUGUUUUCUUUAAUCAAGAACGAUAGUCGGAGGUUCGAAGACGAUCAGAUACCGUCCUAGUUUCGACUGUAAACUAUGCCAGCUAACGAUCAGACAGAGUUCUCUACGACUUGUCUGGCAGUUUCCGGGAAACCAAAGCGUUUGGGUUCCGGGGGAAGUAUGGUUGCAAAGCUGAAACUUAAAGGAAUUGACGGAAGGGCACCACCAGGAGUGGAGCCUGCGGCUUAAUUUGACUCAACACGGGGAAACUCACCCGGCCCGGACACAGUGAGGAUUGACAGAUUGAGAGUUCUUUCUUGAUUCUGUGGGUGGUGGUGCAUGGCCGUUCUUAGUUGGUGGAGCGAUUUGUCUGGUUAAUUCCGAUAACGAACGAGACUCUGGCAUGUUAAAUAGUCGCGGAAGUGCGUAUGCACUUGCCGAAUUGACUUCUUAGAGGGACUAGUGAUUUUAAUUCACACGAGAUUGAGCAAUAACAGGUC